rnacentral:lncRNA from 1 species
CACGUGUCAUAAUAUAAGUGGAUAAAUAUUAAAAUAUAUCUUACAAAAAUGAGAAACUUGUUGACACGUUACACUGUUAGUGUCAAAGUGGCGCCCGUGACAAUAAUAAAAUGAGUGAGAAAAAUUAACACAUAUCAUUGUAUUAUUGCACUUUUUUUGAAAAAGGGUUAUAUCAGUUCCGUCGUUUAUAUUAUAACACACGUUUUACCAUCUUGUGUUGUAAAUAUGCAUAAAAAUUAUCUUGAAAGAGUCAAAUUUUAACCACAAUAAUAAAAAUUAGGCUAAUUGAAUUAAGAGUCGCGGUGGUAAUAGAAUAGUCGAAAAAUAGUCUCUGCAAUAAAAAAAUUAAGAUUUAGGCUCAUAUGGUAAAGUUUGUUAAGAUUUAAUCCUAAAUUGAAAAUUUGGUCAAGGCUCACAUCUAAAAGGAAGAGUGGAGAAAAUUUUCAAUUUUAGACCUAAUCCUAAAAAUGCGUUUAAUCCUAAUUUUACUACAUAUACUAUCUUGGGACUAUCUUAUCGGACCUGGAUUGUCUGCCCUCCUCAAAUCAUACACUUUCCAUCCCCUCCUAUUCUGUGGUCAUAGUUAAGUCACGUCAACAUUUUAUAUUAAUUUUUUUUAUAGAGAUAAUAAGAUAAAAAAAUAUUGAGAAUAUAAAAUGUUAAAAUGAUUUAAUUGUGAUCACAUAAAUAAGAAAGGAUAUGAAGAAGAUGGGUUGAGGGAGGACAGACAAUCCAGGUCUCUAUCUUAUCACCCUUAAUCCAAUUAGGCCUAAAAAUUAAUUUCAAACACAACCUUUUACCUUUCGCCUGAAGUCCAAUCAGCUCUGCCAAAAGAAAAAUAAUUGAACAGCUGUACUGCUACGAGCAAUAUAAUAAUAAUUAAUUAAUUAAAUUUUCCACAGGUUAAGAAUUUUGAACGGAGAACUCUUGAAUUAUGAAAUGCGGGUAAAAUCCCCACACUACAAGUAGGGCUGCCCCUCUCUCAUUUUUCCUCAUCACACCUCAAAGUCUCCCUCUUUCUCUCUGUGCUGGAGGUAAUGCUCUAGAAUCUUGAAGAACCCUCCUUUCAAUUCUUUCAAGUUUCAAGCUUUUGCUAAUUUGGUGUUUUGGGAACUUUUGUUUUUGUGCAGAGAAAAUGGCUUCUUGCAAACAAUGGACUGUGUUUUUUAGCUUGCUGUGUUUGGCCUCUGCAACAAUGGCAGCUCCCCUGAAAACGCCGGUUGCGGUGCCGUUCGGCAGAAACUACAUGCCCACUUGGGCAUUUGAUCACAUCAAGUACUUCAAUGGAGGCAAUGAGAUCCAGUUGCAUCUCGACAAGUACACAGGUACAAAAUGGAACAAGUACAAGCACAUAUUAUUAGUAACGCUUAAGCGUUACCCAGUUAAUAAUAACUUAAUACAGCGGUAAACACUCGCUUGAAAGUUCAUGUUAUGGAGGCUUACUAAAAAUUGGUUUUAAUUUUGUGAAGGUACUGGCUUCCAAUCGAAAGGAAAUUACUUGUUCGGCCACUUCCAUAUGCAAAUUAAGAUGGUUCCUGGGGACUCUGCUGGAACUGUUACUGCAUUCUAUGUGAGCAUGUUUCUCGAUUUCUUUCAUUUUUUGCUUAAUAAUAUUCCUUUUGUUUCCCAAAUACUUUUGAAAUGGGCAUUGAGCUCAGAUGAUUUACGCUUGUUAUUCAGCUGUCUUCGCAAAACAACGAGCACGACGAGAUCGAUUUCGAGUUCUUGGGGAACAGGACAGGGCAGCCCUACAUUCUGCAGACCAAUGUGUUCACAGGAGGAAAGGGGGAUAGAGAGCAGAGGAUUUUCCUCUGGUUCGAUCCCACUGCAGCUUACCACUCCUACGCUGUCCUCUGGAAUCUCUACCAGAUUGUGUAAGUUCUUUCUCCCUUCUUCAACCCUGUUUCUGAAAUCCUCUGUUUUUAUGAACAUUUUUUGUCUCUUGAUAUAUUUUUAUUCUUAGCGUGACGAAGAGAAAAAAAAUGACGAUGAAAAUCACUUUAAUUUAAGAAAAUUAAUGAAAAAAAUUCGAAAAUUUUGAGUUUUAACAAUAAAAAUAAGAUAAAUGGUAAACUGAAUAAUACUAGGAUUAACUUUUUAAUGUAAAGAUAUGAUUUUUCGUUAAAAUUUCGUUUAAUUUAAGCUAUUUCUAAUCCUUGUGACCCUCAAAACAUUAGAACAAAGUUGUUUUGUGUGGAAAUUAACAAGUGCAAUGAUCUUAACCCUCUAGUUUUCUCACUUUAUCCGUUAUAUAUACAUAUUUUCUUUUAAUUUAUUCAAUUUAAACCCGAGUGAAUAGUGCAGUUUGAAAAAAUGUUAAACAGAAAUCAUUACAUCUCUUGGAUUAUUCAUUGUGUAAUUACGAUCACGUGACGGGUACUGUAAAGUUAAUAAAUUAUAGACUCCUUUCACCAUCAUUACAUUUGCACCAAACUCAUGGAGUUCAAAAUUUCCAACCGAGAAAAAAUAAAACAAAUUAUAGCAAAACCCUAGUAAAUCAAAGCUUUUCAAUUCUUAAUUUAGUUUCCGACAAAAUUUGACCAAAUGUGGAUUUUUAGGGACAAGGAUAAUCUCCGGAUCUUUUUCAAGGAGAUCUAGAAAUUCAAUCAAUUUUGUUUGUUUAUCGUACGAUCAAUUUUCGUUACGUAUUAUUUAUAUUCAAUGUAAAAUUUAAAAUUUAAAAUAAUUUUUAACUACAUAAUGAACGGACUCCGAACUCUCCAUAAAGAGGAUCCAGGGAGAAUCUUAUUCCGGUUUUCAGGAUUAUGUUGACCAAAAGGUCCAAAACUCGUGCAAUUUUUCAACAGACAAACGUUGAACUUUGGUCCCCAAAUUAUUGAGGGGGGAUCUCCACUUUUUCCUUAACUUUUCUUUUACUUUUUUCAUACAUGUUUUGGAUAUAAAUACAACGAUUUUAACGUGUUUGACCUUUUUGGGCAAAAUUCGUAUGUGGCUGACGUGUCCCGCCAUGUCAUGCAAAAUCAGAUUCCUCGUGGACGACGUACCAAUCAGGGUGUUCAAAAACUGCAAAGAUUUGGGUGUGAAAUUCCCAUUUAACCAGCCCAUGAAGCUCUACUCCAGCUUGUGGAACGCAGACGACUGGGCCACCAGGGGUGGGCUGGAAAAAACCGAUUGGUCUAAGGCCCCGUUCAUCGCCACGUACCGGGGUUUCCACAUCGACGGCUGCGAGGCCUCCGUCAAUGCCAAGUUCUGUGACACACAGGGUAAGAGAUGGUGGGACCAGAGGGAGUACCAAGACCUUGAUGCUCAGCAAUGGAGGAGGCUGAGGUGGGUCCGCCAGAAAUACACCAUCUACAACUACUGCACUGACCGAGCCCGAUACCCUACUAUGCCACCAGAGUGCCAGAGGGACAGAGACGUAUAAAGUUACAAACCGACCG